rnacentral:lncRNA from 1 species
UUUAUUGUGACCGACAUAAGGUCGAUUUGNGUGACCGACAAAGGUCGAUUUGGAAAGAGUGAUUGUUUAGGGUGAGGGUACACUCGGUGUAAAUGUCGUUAGUGUUUUCUGUUUUUCCAUUAGCCAUUUUUACGGUGAAUGUGUCUUUUAGUGUUUGUGGUUUUUGUUUAAGCAAGCAUUUAAAUUGAUGGCUCACGAAGCUUUUCUCCGCGCCACAAUAAAAAAGAAUGCAUGCAUAUGUAUUGUUAAGGAGAAACAUACCGGUGACCACAGUUGGAUCUGCAACUGUUUCCUCAUGACUUAUCGC